rfam:Glycine max cultivar Williams 82 chromosome 9, whole genome shotgun sequence.
AGUCUAUUAGUUUAGUUGGUUAAAACAUCAUGUUAAUAAUGUGAAAGUCAUAGGUUCAAGACUUGCAUGAACCA